UCCACCUGAAGAUCAGGAAGUCAGUAAAGUAUCAGCGCACUGACCAACAUUUGUUCUUAUGAACUCAGUAGUGUGCAACAGUAAGCUUAAACUAUCCCAAAAAUCCUUUCAAAACCGACUGUCAGUUUAUUGUUUGUCUGCCGAGGUGUCUCCAAGAGUCCACCGAAGCAAUAAGAAAUCCCAUCUCGUCAAAGGCGGCUCUGUUGCGCUUCAGUAAUGUCUCCUGUGGUUUUUUGUUCUCGGCUGUUGUUCCUCCUCAGUUGUUACACCGCUGGAAGAAAAGCUGAGGCUGGCAAACAUUUCCCCGGCUCAUCGCCGCAAACAAGCUUCUGGAAACAUCUAAGACCCAAUAUCUGACUAAGCGCUUCUCCGAUCUCCGUCUGUUGGCGGCUUUAUUCACUUGCGAGCUCACAUCCAUCAGAGGACGAGAAGAUUAAAGUCCUCGCUCACAUUUUCGGGCCCGAUCCCAUUUCAUGCCAAAGAUAGAAUUCCAAGUUAAUUACCGAUGUUUUCCAUCAAGACGUUUUUGCUAACUGACAGUCUAAAAAUCACUGUCAGCGUGAAACGCUGUCCUGGAUUAUUUCCAUAUGAAUCAGGGUAUUUAAUCAAGAAAAACAUUUAACUUUUGUUCUGUUAGUAAUUGAUUGGGUGGUGAAAACUGGGCAUUAUGUACCAGGAUGGAUGCGGGGAUUGGUGACGUCAACCGAAGAGCACAGAAUGUUUCAGAAUGAGUUAUUACAUAUUGAUUAUGUGUUAAAUAAAAUAUAAAGAUCCAUUUUUUUAUGCAGGUUUCAAGAAGUGUUAAAGUCAGCAGAUCUAUUUGUUAUAAUAUGUUCUAUUUGUAAUCCAUUAUUCAUGGAUUUUAUUUUUGUGUCUUUCUGUCCAUCUACAAAAAAAGUGACUGUCUGAAAAAGUAUCUCUCUGUCUAUCUGGAAAAAAAUGAUGUCUGUAUCUCCAUCUGUCCAAAAAGUAUCUGUCUGUCCAUCUAUCUAUCUGUCCGUCUGUCUGUCUCCAUCUUUCUAUCCGUCUGUCCGUCCAUCUGUCUGUCUGCCUUUCCCUCAGUCUUGUCUAUCUGUAUCUGUCUGUCUGCCUCCCUGUCUGUCUAUCAUCUGUCAAUUUAUCUAUCCAUCCGUCUUUCCUUCUAUCUGUAUCCAUCCGUCCAUCUAUCUGUCCCUCCGUCUAUUUGUCUGUCCGUCCGUCUGUCUGCCUUUCCAUCGGUCUUGUCUAUUUGCAUCCUUGUAUCCGUCCGUCUGUCUCUCCGUCUGUCUAUCAGUAUAUUCAUCUGUCUGUCUAUCUGUCUGUCCCAUCUAUCUAUGCGUCCAUCUGUCUGUCUAUCUGCUUCUCCGGCUGUCUAUCUAUCUGUCUCUCUGUCCAUCUGUCUAUCCAUCUGUCCAUCCGUCUGUCUAUCUGUCCAUCUGUCUGUCUAUCCAUCUGUUUGUCCAUCUAUCUAUAUGUAUGUCUGUCUGUCUGUCCGUCCGUUCAUCUGUCAGUCUGUAUCUCUGUCAGUCUAUCUAUCCAGCUGUCCAUCUAUCUGUCUUUCUGUCCGUCUGUCUAUCUGCCUGUCUGUAUAAAAAAGUAUCUCUCUGUUAAUUUGUCUCUGUCCAUCUGGAAAAAAAAAAAAAUCUGUCUGUAUCUCUGCCUGUCCAAAUACUAUCUGCCUAAAAUAAUUUGUCUUUCUGUCUCUCCAUCUGCAUAAAAAACUAUUUGUUUGUCUGUCUGUCUGUCUGUCCAAAAAGUAUCUGUUUGUCCAUGGGUCUCUUUGUCCAUCUGAAAAAAAGUGUCUGUCUGAGAUAAUUUUGUCUGAAAAAGUAUGUUCGUCUCUCCAUCUGUCUAUGUCCAUCUGUCUCUUUGUGCAUCUGAGAAAAAAAAAUGUCUGUCUUACUGUCUAAAAUGUAUCUGUCUGAAAAAAAAAAAAGGUCUCUCUGAAAAAAGUAUGUCCAUCUGAAAAGGUGUCUGUCUGUCGGUCAGUCUAUCUAUCCAUUUGUCUGAGUAGAAUGUGUCUGCCUGUGUUUGUUUGUCCACAUGAAAAUCUGUCUGUAGGAAGUGCCUGAUUGUUUUUCUCCGACUGUCUGAAAAAAUAUCUGCCUUUCUGUCUGUCUGUAGAAGUGCAGUGAAGUGUCUAUUCAUCUGUCCAAAAAAACCCCACCUGUCUGUCUUUAAAAAUAAAGUUUGUUGCUGUCUGUCUGUCUGAAAAGUAUUGUCUUCCAGUUGCAAUGCAUCAUGGGAGUGGCCAGUUACUUGAGUGACUGAUUGGUGGAUCUGUCUUCGGGAUUAUGGUGUGGAGAGGAAAGUGCAGUAACAGCACCAUCUGUUUGGGUGUUCAGUGCUCAGGUUUGUCAUUUCUCAUCGAGCGUCAAACGGUGAUUAGCAUACAGUGAUGUUACGAUCAGGAUCCUGCGGUUUCAGCUGGGAAACCCUGUGGCGGCGCUAAAGGUCACAUGACCAUCAGUCUC